AAAUGGUUUUCUUGUGUAUGGAUCACAGUGAUAAAAUCUCUCUGCAAUUAGGAAUGAUGCCACAAGGACCUUUCUUGGGUCCCUGCGAUACUGGCUAGCUGGGACACCUUGACAACUUCCUGUGCAUGCACUGUCAUCUGCAGCAGCCACUCAUGCUCCCUACCACGUUGACUUGUUUCCUGGUCACUGUCUCAAUCCAGGGUUUUCCAACUUCUUCCAUUUUUGAGUACAAGAAACUUAUAUAAAAGAUGAUGACUCAGCAUGGUGAACACUUCUUUCUACAGAAAAUCAAGCGAAGAAAACCUGUCCAGCAUGUCAAGACACCUACUCGAUAUAACUUCAUCAUGCUCUGGGAAGGACUAAUGAAUGAAAGCUAACAGCUCCCAGUCGGAGGCCGCG
rnacentral:lncRNA from 1 species